UAUUGGCCCUAACGUGAGGCGCGAAGAGAUGACGUAAGAGUUAUUUUGGUUCUUCGACUCCGGUGCUUGGGAAAACUGCUUGCACUCCUUUGCGAAGAGUCGUUGAAAAGGUUGUACGACCGUAGUUGUGAAGAAAGGAACAGAGCGAAUUAAUCGAGAAAAUGCCUCCUCUUGAUACUGAUGUACUGGACUGUUGCAGUCCACCGAUCUACAGCAAACUUGCCGAAAUUAUUGACGGCUCAACAGAGUUCCGUAGGCACUUGGCCUUAGUUGUAAAGUAGGGGUUGUGUGACCACAUGGAAAAGAUCGAGGCCUGUUUGAAAAACCACAGAAGAAAAGUCCGUUAUAAAGUAAAUUCCUCAGUUAAAUGGAAAAUAAGAGAAAUUCUCACAGAAUGCAGAGGAAAAGGCCAAAGAAAUUAAGAGAAAAAAGAAAGAGAGAAAAAAAAAGAUGUAGAGGGCCUGUCCAGGAGAUACAAUCUACGCAUAAUAGAAAACAGAAGACAAAGCAAAUGAAGCAGAAACAAUAAUUACGCAACUAAUUGAAGAAAAUUUUCCGGAGUUAAAGAAUGAAGUAGACUUGAAAAUGAAGAAGUCUCACAGGAUACCUUUAAAUUUUAAUUAGAAGAAAGCAACACCUAGGCAUAUCUUAAAUUUUAAGCAUAAAGAAAAAAUCUUUCAAGUAUCCAGAGAAAGAGGUUACCUAUAAAGAGGCAAAAGUCAAA